rnacentral:rRNA from 1 species
AGUGAACGCUGGCGGUAGGCCUAACACAUGCAAGUCGAACGGCAGCACAGUAAGAGCUUGCUCUUACGGGUGGCGAGUGGCGGACGGGUGAGGAAUACAUCGGAAUCUACUUUUUCGUGGGGGAUAACGUAGGGAAACUUACGCUAAUACCGCAUACGACCUACGGGUGAAAGCAUGGGAUCUUCGGACCUUGCGCGAUUGAAUGAGCCGAUGUCGGAUUAGCUAGUUGGCGGGGUAAAGGCCCACCAAGGCGACGAUCCGUAGCUGGUCUGAGAGGAUGAUCAGCCACACUAGAACUGAGACACGGUCCAGAGGCCUGCGGGAGGCAGCAGUCGGGAAUAUUGGACAAUGGGCGCAAGCCUGAUCCAGCCAUACCGCGUGGGUGAAGAAGGCCUUCGGGUUGGAAAGCCCUUUUGUGGGGAAAGAAAAGCAGCAGGUUAAUACCCCGCUGUUCUGACGGUACCCAAAGAAGAAGCACCGGCUAACUUCGUG